UGACCAGCUAAUCCUCCCUGUGGCCCCAAAAACAGACUUUGAAAGAGAUCUGGAGCGCUCCUCCUCUCCACCAGUUAUCCCAAGCUAAAUUGCCAGCGGUGUCAACAUUCGCGGCCUUCUGUAAAAUGCGGUAUUUAAGAAGCCUAGACAUAGUUUUGUAUUUAUUUUUGUUUAUUUAUUUUUAUUUUAUUUUAUUUUUAUCUUUGCGCAGCAAUGAGACUUGGAAAAGUUCCGCCGGACCGGAGACAUGACAGCGUCGGCCCCCAAUUCUUAUCGUCAUUCUAGUUGAGCCCCGCUUGCAAAAAUUUCAACAGUGUCGACUUCUUCUGAUGCUACGAACUUAAAACCACCAGAGAUGAACUGUUCUCUGCCUGGCAAAGGGCUAUCGCUUUUCCUCCCUAGCUCAAAAAAGAUGCUGCGACAGUCCCUAUCGUCCCAUCCACCCCCCAUCGACACAGAUUAUUUCCCCAGAUACGUAACUGCUGGCUUCACUGGCCAAAAACACCACCACACCCUUGAAAUCAUCAGGAAUGCCCCACCUUCCCGCAGGAAUCCGAGCAAGGAUGGCACUGUUCCUUUCUGGGUUAUCCAUCAAUUCAGUGUUCAUAUCCGUAUUGAUAUAUCCAGGUGCAAUGGCGUUGACUGAAAUGCCCUUGGACAUCCAUUCGUUCGACAGGGCCUUGGUUAGCUGGGCUACCCCACCCUUUGAUGCUGCGUAUGCCGGUACCGUGAUGCCACCUUGGAACGAGAGAAGGGAUGCCACAUUGAUGAUGGUCCCUCUCCGCCCAGACUGGAAACUGGCAGCAUCACGAGACAGAAGAUACGCACCAAAUUCUCGACAUAACGUAAAAACAGACGUUAAGUUAACUUGGAGAACCUAGAAACAAAAAAAUUAGCCUCAGGUCUUGGGAACAAAAGUAUCCUAACAGAAAAAGACGUGAC
rnacentral:sRNA from 1 species